rnacentral:rRNA from 1 species
UACGAAGGGGGCUAGCGUUGUUCGGAAUUACUGGGCGUAAAGGGCGCGUAGGCGGCGUGUUAAGUCAGCUGUGAAAUCUCCAAGCUUAACUUGGAACGGUCAGCUGAUACUGAUGUGCUAGAGUGCAGAAGGGGCAAUCGGAAUUCUUGGUGUAGCGGUGAAAUGCGUAGAUAUCAAGAGGAACACCUGAGGUGAAGACGGGUUGCUGGGCUGACACUGACGCUGAGGCGCGAAAGCUAGGGUAGCAAACGGG